GACAGAGGGGCAAGCGUUGUUCGGAAUUACUGGGCGUAAAGGGCUUGUAGGUGGCCAACUAAGUCAGACGUGAAAUCCCUCGGCUUAACCGGGGAACUGCGUCUGAUACUGGAUGGCUGGAGUGUGGGAGAGGGAUGCGGAAUUCCAGGUGUAGCGGUGAAAUGCGUAGAUAUCUGGAGGAACACCGGUGGCGAAGGCGGCAUCCUGGGCAGUGGACUCGAAAGGGUCCUUCAACCGACACUGAUGCGCGACAGCGUGGGGAGCAAACAGG
rnacentral:rRNA from 1 species